rnacentral:tRNA from 1 species
GUCAGGAUGGCCGAGCACUCUAAGAAGCUGCGUUCAGAUCGCAGUCCACUUGUGUGGGCGUGGGUUAGAAUCCCACUUCUGACA